rnacentral:rRNA from 1 species
UGCAAGUCGAACGCACUGUGGUUCAACUGAUUUGAAGAGCUUGCUCUGAUAUGACGAUGAACAUUGCAGUGAGUGGCGAACGGGUGAGUAACACGUGGGAAACCUACCUCUUAGCGGGGGAUAACAUCUGGAAACAGAUGCUAAUACCGCAUAACACUAGCAACCGCAUGGUUGCUACUUGAAAGAUGGUUCUGCUAUCACUAAGAGAUGGUCCCGCGGCGCAUUAGUUAGUUGGUGAGGUAAUGGCUCACCAAGACGAUGAUGCGUAGCCGAGUUGAGAGACUGAUCGGCCACAAUGGGACUGAGACACGGCCCAUACUCCUACGGGAGGCAGCAGUAGGGAAUCUUCCACAAUGGACGAAAGUCUGAUGGAGCAACGCCGCGUGUGUGAUGAAGGGUUUCGGCUCGUAAAACACUGUUGUAAGAGAAGAAUAGCAUUGAGAGUAACUGCUCAGUGUCUGACGGUAUCUUACCAGAAAGGAACGGCUAAAUACGUGCCAGCAGCCGCGGUAAU